CUAUACUGUUUUAUAAAUUGCAAAACAUUACCAAUUCAUGCACACGAAAACAUGCACAGAAUACAUUAAUCCUUUGCUAAGUCAUUUUUUCCUUUCUUCCUGAUCACGAGUAAAAGAGUAAUUACUGAUUGAAAUUACCUGCCAAAUGCCCACAAUGUUUUCAUAAGCUUGGACACAGUGUGCUUGCACCCACACACAUGCAUAUGUGAAUUAUGUAUGAAAUUAAGUAUGCAAGAAUGUGUGUGUGUGUGAGUGUAUCAUUUGAGAGAUCGAGGCAACCGUUACUUGGCUGCUGUGCGAGGCAGGGGCAGAGGCAGAGGCAGAGGCAAGGCGAGGCUUCGUGCGGCGCUUGCAGCACACAAAGAAUUCUUUUUCAAUUUGGCUGUGAAACAACGAGCAACGAUUGCCCCCAAAAGCUGAGCUGCCGUAAACCAGAAAAACAAACAAACAUACAUACGUACAUGCUGUAACUGUGUAACUUAUUAACUGAGUGCAAAUUAAAUUAAAAUUGAAACCAAUCAAACAUAUGUAUAUCAUAUCAACUGCAUAUUGCUUAGCGUGUGAAAAGCGAAUGCAGGAAACGCUAGACUUGCCAAACAGUAAACAAUAAAUAAAUAAAAAAAAAAGCAAACACAAAAAAAGAAAAGCAAACAAAACGAAGCAAAUCAAAAAUCAAAAAAGCAGAACCCCCAACCCGACAGCAAUAGCAACAACAAAAACUAAAACAAACAAAUAAACUCUGCUUGCAAGUGCCUUGAAUGCGUGUGCGUAUGUGUGCGUAUGUAAAUGAGAUAAGAACAAGACGCACCAAAGCUUACACACAGCUUCAGAAUCUACUCAGUUAACGUCGCCGUCGCCGUCAACGUCUGCAUCUCUGUUUGUGUCUGAGUCGGAAUCGGAGUCUAAUUAUAGCACACAGCUCGCUAAAAAUACAGUUCACAUCAACUCACACAAACACUGGCAAACAUAUCAACAGGCAAACCCAAACGAUACCCAACUAAUUCAGUGCGUGGGAGCAGGCGAGAGAGCCACACACAAUACAAAAGGGUGAGAGGCAAAAGCCUGAGAGAGCGCGCCUUAAGAGCGAGAGUGAGAGCGUAAGCGUGAGCAUAAGUUUUGAAUUUCGUAAUAAGCGAACGAACACGACGACAGCGCAGCGGCAGCUGAUUGUUUAUUUGAUAUUUGCCGAUAACGAUACCGAAAAGUCGUGAAGCAAUUGCAACGUACUCGAUCAUCGAUUGACUCGCUGAUUAAACAAAGCACAAAGGGUGCAAGUUCAAAAAAAAAAAAAAUAAAAAAAAAAAGAAUAAAGACAACUGGCGAAAAUUCGCCACGCUUAGUCAGCAAAACAGCCCCCUUCCCCAGCCACUGCCAAGCAUUCCCUGCAGCGAUUGGGCUCCAGAGAGAAAGACUAAAAGAGAGGGGAAGAGUGAAAGAGAGCGGCAGAGAGAUAGAGAGAAAGAAAGAGAGAGAGAAGCUAAGAGCAAGCGCGUUUAACCAGACGAUUGAUCAACGCUGCGGAGCUUCAUCAUCAAAGCGCGUUCCAAAUCCAAGCCAGAAGCAUCAUCGUUAGGUCGUGCGCUCGACCGCUUUCUCAAGUCCUCGAUUAAGAUCCACACGCAGUUCCACUUCCACAUAACGGCAUAUUCACGAAAUGCAACAAAAUCGCCAAACAUCGCGUGUGAACAUCAAUAAGAAUAAUAAUAAUAAUACUCGUCGUACACCAAAGACUCGCCCGCACACUGUCCCUGACUCUCUGGUCUUCACUGUAAUCAUAAUCGACACCAAUUAGCUACAGCUCUACAUAUAUAACUAUUAUAUCAUCAUUAUUAUUAUUAUUAAUUGUAAAACAUUUAUUUUUUUGUUUGCACGAACUAUCGUAUCUCCAAACAAGGACAAUUUGUUAUUGUUUUUUUUUUUUUUAUUAUAUUUUUUAUUUUUGUUGUUGUGACAAAUAAUUGUGAUUUCUGAAACUGUGUGAUUGCAAAAGAACGAGACCAAAAUAAUAACAAUUAAAAGAAAGUUCCUUAAGCAACGUGAUAAGUUUAAAACUGAAAGCCGUGCACAGGAUCAUCGUGUGAACCAGCUCAAAAGCCAUAUCGGAGUCCAAAGGAAACCAUAUUUUAUCAAAGCGCAUCAAGUAUAGCAUGCAAAAAUGAUUUUCCCGCUGCCAAAUUCAUGUGUUCUGCCUCUGUUUGCCACAAUUGUGUUUGUGGCAUUCUGUCUGUCUCGGGUUUCCGGAAUUCCCGUUAGUCAACCUUCUGACAAUACCGAAUACAAGAGAUUUUGCAGCAUGAAUCUAGCCGAUACCAUAGAUCGGGUCUGUCACGGUCAAACAAAAUCUCUGGGUGAACUCUAUCCUGAAAGCGUUGGGCAUCGCAGCAAACGUUUCAGUCCCGAUGAGACCUACUUUAGGCCACUACAUAAUGGUCCAGUCCAUUUAUGCUGCCUUCGUUCGUGUACCUAUGCCGAGUUACGUCGAUACUGUGCGGACGAUGGAACCACACGAUUCCCCGAUAAUGGGCAUCCAUAGAUAGUGCUUCUUAUAAAAGCCUCACCCUCCCCACACACCUCCUCCUCCCAUAUAAGCCCACACAUAACACACACACAGACACACACACACACACACACACAGACACCCCAUACACUAAGUAUAUUGUACUAAUUUAAGCUAUGCACUAAUAAAAAUUUAUACAAUUAUGAGAGCAAUACGAGUACAGUACGAACACCCUAUAAAACAGGGUUUAUUUAUAGCGAAUUGAGAUUAAUGCAAUCUAUGCCAAUUGAUAAGAACUUGAGUUAUAUCCAGUUUCGUUUAGUCUCAUCUCAAUAGUCGCUGAUUUACUCACAACAUUUUCUAACACAAACUAGAAGAGAUCUCUAGUAGAUUCUCUAACAUCUCUCCCCAUAGAUCAUGCUCCCUUUUCUCAUACUCUGAUGGGAAAUCUUAUGUAAUAAAGUUUAAGACAAAUCUUAAAACCAAAAGUAGCACUAAAUUAUAAGUCUGAUUGAUUAUGUAUUGAAAAAAAGCUGACUAAAUAAUGCCAUAAAAUACCCUGUAAUUAAUAAGUCAUCCCAUAAAAUUUCUAUGCUGUUAAACUAUUCAAAAUUUUAAACACACUUUAUCAAUUCCUUUGAAAGCAUUUACAAUAAAGAAAAACCAACUAGUGCAUACCCUGUUCUA